AACCUGGUUGAUCCUGCCAGUAGUGAUAUGCUUGUCUUAAAGAUUAAGCCAUGCAUGUAUCAGUACAAGCCUCACUAAGGUGAAACCGCGAAUGGCUCAUUAAAUCAGUUAUUAUUUACUGGCCGAGACAGUGAUACAUGGAUAACUGUGGUAAUUCUAGAGCUAAUACAUGCAACCGAGCCCCAGUGCCGGCUCUCGGGUCGGCCGGGGCGCUUUUAUUGGCUGAAAACCGAUGACCGCCCUCGUGGCGGUCGUUCUCCGAUGAAUCACAAUAACAUUGUGUGGAUCGUACGGUCUUGUACCGACGACGCGCCUUUCAAAUAUCUGCCUUAUCAGCUCUCGACGGUUUGCUAGUGGCUGACCGUGGCUCUGACGGGUAACGGGGAAUCUGGGUUCGGUUCCGGAGAGGGAGCCUGAGAGAUGGCUACCACAUCUAAGGAAGGCAGCAGGCGCGUAACUUACCCACUCCCAGUUCAGGGAGGUAGUGACAAUAAAUACCUUACAGAGGUCUCGUUAACCGAGAUCUCUCAAACGGAAUGAGUACAACGUGAAUCCUUUAACGAGGAUCGACUGGAGGGCAAGUCUGGU
rnacentral:rRNA from 1 species